UACGUAGGGAGCGAGCGUUGUCCGGAUUCAUUGGGCGUAAAGAGCUCGUAGGCGGCUUGGUAAGUCGGAUGUGAAAACCCAGGGCUCAACCCUGGGCCUGCAUUCGAUACGGGCAGACUAGAGUACGGCAGGGGAGACUGGAAUUCCUGGUGUAGCGGUGAAAUGCGCAGAUAUCAGGAGGAACACCGGUGGCGAAGGCGGGUCUCUGGGCCGAAACUGACGCUGAGGAGCGAAAGCGUGGGGAGCGAACAGG
rnacentral:rRNA from 1 species